UUGGGAAUCUUGCACAAUGGGGGAAACCCUGAUGCAGCGACGCCGCGUGGAGGACGAAGGGUCUAGGCCUGUAAACUCCUUUUAUGGGGAAAGACUUAGGACGGUACCCCAUGAAUAAGGACCGGCUAACUACGUGCCAGCAGCCGCGGUAAGACGUAGGGUCCAAGCGUUGUCCGGAUUUACUGGGCGUAAAGAGCGCGUAGGCGGUCUGUUAAGUGCACGAGUGAAAUCCCUGGGCUCACCUCAGGAACCGCUCUGCAUACUGGCAGACUGGAGGGUCGGAGAGGUAUGUGGAAUUCCUGGUGUAGCGGUGAAAUGCGUUGAUAUCAGGAGGAACACCCAUGGCGAAGGCAGCAUACUGGCCGGCAUCUGACGCUGAGGCGCGAAAGCGUGGGUAGCAAACA
rnacentral:rRNA from 1 species